AUUACAUGAAGAUACCAAAUAUACAAAUUGAAAAUCCCCAAGCCGAUAAUAUUUAUUUACUUAACAAAAGAAAACCUUUUUGACUUGUUAUAAAAUGAUCAUGAUCAUGUUGGAUGGUAUCUUGGAUUUGGUGAUUGAAUUUAUAACAUCAAGGAAAAUUAACAUUACUUUAAUGAUCAUUUUGAAUUUGGCCCAUCCCUCCAUGAUCAAAUUGAAUAUCAUUACUUUAAUUACUAAACCUUCAAAUCAUUCCAUUAAAAGCCUCUUUUGCACCAGCCAUCACAUGCAUCCUCUCUAUUGUCUCCCUCCCCCUCUUAUAUCUCACAUACUUAUAUGUUUCAUGCAUGUCACAUGUCUAUCUUUCAUGAGUCUUGCUCUAGUUUUCAUAGAAGUGAUGAACUGAUUAAAAAGAGAGAGAGAGAGACUAAAAGGGAAUUUUAGAGAGUGGAUUUUGUGCUUUGAGAUUCUUUUUGUGUGUGUGGUUAAUUAGCUAUUGAGAUUGAGAUCAGAAUGAGAAUCUCUAAAUCUCUCAGGACUGUUUUGAUUUCUAUUCUCUUCUAUCUAACUUCUGCUCCACCAUUUGUCAUCUGCUCAUCUCUUGAAGUCACCAUUGAUAACCAUUCACCAAGCAAUCUCAAUAAUAAAGGAUCCCAAGAACAAGACAAGUUGAGUCAUCAAAUGAUAAAUAGCAUAAAGCUUCAUGGCAUUCUCUUAUGGGUUUCUAUGGGCUUUCUUAUGCCAUUGGGGAUUAUCUUCAUUCGAAUGACCAAUAAAGCUCAUGCAAAUGGAAUAAAAGUUAAAGUGUUCUUCUAUCUUCAUGUCAUUUUCCAGAUAUUGGCAGUGGUUUUAGCAACAAUAGGAGCUAUACUGUCUUUAAGAACAUUGGAGAACUCUUUUGACAACAACCAUCAAAGACUUGGCUUGGCUCUUUAUGCUGCCAUGUGGCUCCAAUUCUUGACCGGUAUCUUCAAGCCCUCAAGAGGGAGCAAAAGGAGGUUGAGAUGGUUCUUAUUGCAUUGGAUUCUUGGAACAAUAGUCUCAAUAGUUGGCAUAAUAAACAUAUACACAGGCAUAAGAGCUUAUCAAAAGAAGACAACAUCAAGUAGAUACUCAAGUCUUUGGACAAUCUUGUUCACAGCUCAAGUCACUUGUCUUGUCUUCUUCUAUCUAUAUCAAGACAAAUGGGAACAUUUUCAAAAGCAAAGAGUUGUUCUUGAUGAAUCGGAUCAGCAAAAUAAUAACACAAAUGGAAGUAAUAAUAACCAAAGCAUCCAAGUGGUAACGAGAAAUGAUCAUGAACAAAAGGUCAUGGUUCCUCAGCCUUGUCGCAAAAGUAAUGCACUUGUGAAUCUGUUUAAAUUAAUUUGAUCGGUGUGAUGUGUGAAGGUCAACUAUAAUACCGAUUUUUUUGAAUAUCAGAUUUCCUACAUUUGUUUAUGAUAGAUUACUGUUGGAUUUGCUUUGGUUUGUUUUUUGUAUUGUUUUGUAAGUAAAUAUUUGUUUUUUUUCUUACCUUUCCGUAUAUAAUAUAUAGUAUUUGAAUAGUUUCAUCAUUAUAGUUUCAAGGUGAAAUUUUUAUUUCGUCAAAAAAAAAAAAAAAAAAAUCUUAACAAAAUGUUGAAUUUUUGACGAAAUUUUUGGUGACGUCAAAUCUGACGCGGAAUUAAGUUUGGGCCUAAUCAACCGAAUAAAGGCCCAAUAGUGAUUAAGAAAGCCCAAAUUAAUUAAUAGUUAUCACUGAUGAAUUUAACUCUUGAUUUAUUUUAAGUUUGCAAAAUCUGCCAUUCGAAGUUAACUUGCGAGGAUAAACGAACCAGAGAGAUUCAAAGCUCUGCUUCAUAGAUUCGUGUAUUGCAUAGAUUUAGAGAACGAGAGAGAGGAGAAGAAGAUGGUAGGCGAAGAGGAGACGAAGAAGAGAGUAGUCACUGAAUCGCUGGGAUGGUUAACGGAAUCUUCGAUUAUGCCAAAGAAGCAUCGCGUCAUCGAAGGUGUUGGUCCUUCUUCAAUCAUGGAGCUUAAAGCUCAGCUCUAUAAAUCGCAAGAAGAAGCUAAACAUACGAAGGAUUUCACGGGAUCCGAUGCUCAAUACCAUCGCGCCAAGGAAAGGAUUGCCGCUAAAGAUUCUUUCUCUGCGAAAAAUUCCGGCGUCGAGAGUCGCAAUCUUAAUGGUUUUUGUGUGUUGGAAAUGAAGGGACAAGCUCGAGCUCAAAGCAGUAAAAGAUGGAGCAGUUAGUUAUGCUGCAUUGGAGAAAAAGGCGCAGUUGUAUGAUAAACUUGUUAGAGGAGAGCUUUCAGAUGAAGAAGGUGAAGAGAAGUACUGUGUUGACUUCUCCAAGAAAGGAAUUCAACAUGAAGACCCAAAAUCAUCAAGAACUUACACCAGUUCCAUUUCAGCACCACCUGAAGAUUUCAAGCAAGAUGGUGAAGAUGAUGGUUUGCUGUUUAGCACCAAAUUUGCUGGACUUGGACACGCAAUUGGGACAGCCGAUGUAAGUCAACACGUGCGUAUGGUCAGGGAGGUUCAUGAGGAAGUGAAUCAAGCUAGAGAAAAGGCAACUGAGUUAAAGCAAAGGAGACAAGAGCAAGCAACAAAUCGUCGGGAGAAACUCAAACAAGCUUAUCUUCGGAAGCAGCUCGAGAAACUAAAGGCUCAACAACAACAAGAUGAGCAAAAAACUUGAUUUUUCGAUUUUUUUCACUUCUCCAAGCUACUGGAUGUUGAGUUGUGGCCUGAACACAGAGAAGAUAAGUUGUCCACCGAACCCAAAUGAGUUUGAUAUGGCUGUGCAACAAGAACACAUAAGCCAUCAUCGAAAAUUCCAAGCACUUCGGAAGGGAUGAAGCUGUAUGUAUAUGCUCUUAACCGCGAUUUAUGUACUGUGGAUUGUUAUGUCAAUCAACAGAUUCUACACCAAGUUACCAAUAUAUAGACAACGCUUAUAACAAAUCUUUAUAAACUCUUGGUAGUUACAUCCAUUUAGACAUCGCAA